GACGAACGCUGGCGGCGUGCUUAACACAUGCAAGUCGAGCGGUAAGGCCCUUUCGGGGGUACACGAGCGGCGAACGGGUGAGUAACACGUGGGUGACCUGCCCUCAGCUCUGGGAUAAGCCUGGGAAACUGGGUCUAAUACUGGAUAUGACUCCACGGUGCAUGUCGUGGGGUGGAAAGCCUUGUGCGGCUGAGGAUGGGCCCGCGGCCUAUCAGCUUGUUGGUGGGGUGAUGGCCUACCAAGGCGACGACGGGUAGCCGGCCUGAGAGGGCGACCGGCCACACUGGGACUGAGACACGGCCCAGACUCCUACGGGAGGCAGCAGUGGGGAAUCUUGCGCAAUGGGCGAAAGCCUGACGCAGCGACGCCGCGUGAGGGAUGACGG
rnacentral:rRNA from 1 species